GGGUUGUGAGGUUAAGCGACUAAGCGUACACGGUGGAUGCCCUGGCAGUCAGAGGCGAUGAAGGACGUGCUAAUCUGCGAUAAGCGUCGGUGAGGUGAUAUGAACCGUUAUAACCGGCGAUUUCCGAAUGGGGAAACCCAGUGUGUUUCGACACACUAUCAUUAACUGAAUCCAUAGGUUAAUGAGGCGAACCGGGGGAACUGAAACAUCUAAGUACCCCGAGGAAAAGAAAUCAACCGAGAUUCCCCCAGUAGCGGCGAGCGAACGGGGAGGAGCCCAGAGCCUGAAUCAGUGUGUGUGUUAGUGGAAGCGUCUGGAAAGGCGCGCGAUACAGGGUGACAGCCCCGUACACAAAAAUGCACAUAUUGUGAGCUCGAUGAGUAGGGCGGGACACGUGGUAUCCUGUCUGAAUAUGGGGGGACCAUCCUCCAAGGCUAAAUACUCCUGACUGACCGAUAGUGAACCAGUACCGUGAGGGAAAGGCGAAAAGAACCCCGGCGAGGGGAGUGAAAAAGAACCUGAAACCGUGUACGUACAAGCAGUGGGAGCCUCUUAAUGGGGUGACUGCGUACCUUUUGUAUAAUGGGUCAGCGACUUAUAUUCUGUAGCAAGGUUAACCGAAUAGGGGAGCCGGAGGGAAACCGAGUCUUAACUGGGCGUUAAGUUGCAGGGUAUAGACCCGAAACCCGGUGAUCUAGCCAUGGGCAGGUUGAAGGUUGGGUAACACUAACUGGAGGACCGAACCGACUAAUGUUGAAAAAUUAGCGGAUGACUUGUGGCUGGGGGUGAAAGGCCAAUCAAACCGGGAGAUAGCUGGUUCUCCCCGAAAGCUAUUUAGGUAGCGCCUCGUGAAUUCAUCUCCGGGGGUAGAGCACUGUUUCGGCAAGGGGGUCAUCCCGACUUACCAACCCGAUGCAAACUGCGAAUACCGGAGAAUGUUAUCACGGGAGACACACGGCGGGUGCUAACGUCCGUCGUGAAGAGGGAAACAACCCAGACCGCCAGCUAAGGUCCCAAAGUCAUGGUUAAGUGGGAAACGAUGUGGGAAGGCCCAGACAGCCAGGAUGUUGGCUUAGAAGCAGCCAUCAUUUAAAGAAAGCGUAAUAGCUCACUGGUCGAGUCGGCCUGCGCGGAAGAUGUAACGGGGCUAAACCAUGCACCGAAGCUGCGGCAGCGACGCUUAUGCGUUGUUGGGUAGGGGAGCGUUCUGUAAGCCUGCGAAGGUGUGCUGUGAGGCAUGCUGGAGGUAUCAGAAGUGCGAAUGCUGACAUAAGUAACGAUAAAGCGGGUGAAAAGCCCGCUCGCCGGAAGACCAAGGGUUCCUGUCCAACGUUAAUCGGGGCAGGGUGAGUCGACCCCUAAGGCGAGGCCGAAAGGCGUAGUCGAUGGGAAACAGGUUAAUAUUCCUGUACUUGGUGUUACUGCGAAGGGGGGACGGAGAAGGCUAUGUUGGCCGGGCGACGGUUGUCCCGGUUUAAGCGUGUAGGCUGGUUUUCCAGGCAAAUCCGGAAAAUCAAGGCUGAGGCGUGAUGACGAGGCACUACGGUGCUGAAGCAACAAAUGCCCUGCUUCCAGGAAAAGCCUCUAAGCAUCAGGUAACAUCAAAUCGUACCCCAAACCGACACAGGUGGUCAGGUAGAGAAUACCAAGGCGCUUGAGAGAACUCGGGUGAAGGAACUAGGCAAAAUGGUGCCGUAACUUCGGGAGAAGGCACGCUGAUAUGUAGGUGAAGCGACUUGCUCGUGGAGCUGAAAUCAGUCGAAGAUACCAGCUGGCUGCAACUGUUUAUUAAAAACACAGCACUGUGCAAACACGAAAGUGGACGUAUACGGUGUGACGCCUGCCCGGUGCCGGAAGGUUAAUUGAUGGGGUUAGCGGUAACGCGAAGCUCUUGAUCGAAGCCCCGGUAAACGGCGGCCGUAACUAUAACGGUCCUAAGGUAGCGAAAUUCCUUGUCGGGUAAGUUCCGACCUGCACGAAUGGCGUAAUGAUGGCCAGGCUGUCUCCACCCGAGACUCAGUGAAAUUGAACUCGCUGUGAAGAUGCAGUGUACCCGCGGCAAGACGGAAAGACCCCGUGAACCUUUACUAUAGCUUGACACUGAACAUUGAGCCUUGAUGUGUAGGAUAGGUGGGAGGCUUUGAAGUGUGGACGCCAGUCUGCAUGGAGCCGACCUUGAAAUACCACCCUUUAAUGUUUGAUGUUCUAACGUUGGCCCCUGAUCGGGGUUGCGGACAGUGUCUGGUGGGUAGUUUGACUGGGGCGGUCUCCUCCUAAAGAGUAACGGAGGAGCACGAAGGUUGGCUAAUCCUGGUCGGACAUCAGGAGGUUAGUGCAAUGGCAUAAGCCAGCUUGACUGCGAGCGUGACGGCGCGAGCAGGUGCGAAAGCAGGUCAUAGUGAUCCGGUGGUUCUGAAUGGAAGGGCCAUCGCUCAACGGAUAAAAGGUACUCCGGGGAUAACAGGCUGAUACCGCCCAAGAGUUCAUAUCGACGGCGGUGUUUGGCACCUCGAUGUCGGCUCAUCACAUCCUGGGGCUGAAGUAGGUCCCAAGGGUAUGGCUGUUCGCCAUUUAAAGUGGUACGCGAGCUGGGUUUAGAACGUCGUGAGACAGUUCGGUCCCUAUCUGCCGUGGGCGCUGGAGAACUGAGGGGGGCUGCUCCUAGUACGAGAGGACCGGAGUGGACGCAUCACUGGUGUUCGGGUUGUCAUGCCAAUGGCACUGCCCGGUAGCUAAAUGCGGAAGAGAUAAGUGCUGAAAGCAUCUAAGCACGAAACUUGCCCCGAGAUGAGUUCUCCCUGAGACUUUAAGUCUCCUGAAGGAACGUUGAAGACGACGACGUUGAUAGGCCGGGUGUGUAAGCGCAGCGAUGCGUUGAGCUAACCGGUACUAAUGAACCGUGAGGCUUAACCUUACAACGCCGAAGGGGUUUUG
rnacentral:rRNA from 1 species